rnacentral:misc_RNA from 1 species
UCAUCUCCAUCAUCUCUCCCACCACUAGAAUCACAGGGAUUCUCAUCACUGAUGUAAUUCCACAUGAAAUUAUGAUAAGAAAUCUCAUUCCUUGAUGGAACAGAAGAGCUUUGACUUAAACGAAAAUCUCUAUCAGCUGAUGAACUAGUAUUGCCAGCAUCUGAAGACAUAGCCUCUGUAUAAUGACAAUCACGAGAACCAGAGUAAACUUUGGCUCGCUUAUUAUGCAUAUCCCGAUCGCAAUCCUCGCUACCACUACCUGUCACUGCGGCGGCNNNNNNNNNNGCUGCAGUGGAACUACUACUCUCUCCCUGGCCUCGCUGUGCGAAACAAAUCGCGGUCUUCCUCAAGUCAAGCGGGGCAACCACAUGCACCACCUCGUCUAAACCAGGUGCCCCCUCGUCCCAAUUGGCACGGCCACUACGCAUCGCUCUAAUCAUAUCCUCGAACAACCUCAAGGGGACCUGAUCAUCACGCUCCAGCCUAUUGUCAGUCAACGCAAGCGCUAAUCUCGUAGCUGCAGUUUCCUCGGCGUUAUUCUCAAUGUUGCUCUCAGGGUUGUUGUCAUUCUCGAAAAUGCCCUCCCUCAUGGCUUUAUCCUGAACGUUGUUACUCUUUAACGGUGCUUCUUCGUCUUCGAAAGUGAAGCAUAGGCAACACCAAAUCUUCAUGCAAUUGAAGGCAAAGGUAGCACCUUUACGAACCCUAGAUGACGAUCCGAAGCAUUUCCACCUCAGAAUUAGAAGAAAAAAAGAAGCCCUAAUUUUGAGUGAAAUUGAAGAGCUGCUCUCGAGAACUUCGCCGCCAAACAACGGAAUCAGGAUUGAAUUCUUCGUGAUCAGAGCAGGUGGACGACUCACCCGAUAUAUGCAAAAAUGAGGUAGGAGCAUAGGGAGCCACAGAGAGAGAGAGAGAGAGAGAGAGAGAGAGGGGUAGAGGAAGGGAAAGGGAAUAUCAACGGAUCUGAUCGGAUCUCGUGAGCUGCUUGAGAUAAUG